rnacentral:lncRNA from 12 species
UGGGUGGACCUGCUUCAUGUCCUUUUUACAGUAUCUCUAAAAUACUGUAAACAAAUACUCUAAAAUCUGCAGUUGGCAGACUUUUAUUGCUUCAUAUAAGUUAUUAGCUACUGCAUAAUUUGCUACAGAAUGGGACCUGCUGACAGCUUUUCUCCAUUUCAUACAGAAAAGAGAACUAUUCCUGCUAGCACCCAUCAUUCUAGCAAAUACUUGACAAUGAAGGGCAAGAGUGACUUAGAGUUUUCCUCCAAGCCAUCUGAAGAGGGAGAAAAUGUGUAUGAGACUGUGAGUUCUUCAAUGCUGGAGGCCAUUCAUUCCUUGAGAAUCCUUCCUGCCAAACCUCUACAAGAAUCUGAAUAUGCAGAUAAACGUUGCUUAAGGCCUUCAGGUACCACUUCCCCAACGAGCAGGAGCCCACCUCAGCUCCUCCAAGACUCAGCUAUUCGCACAUUUGAUCCGGAGGAGAGAACACUGCCAAAUGUAAGAGGUACAAUAAAAAAACAAAAUACCCAUUUCUGCAAACAGAAAUAGUAAUUGCUAC